AGAGUUUGAUCAUGGCUCAGGACGAACGCUGGCGGCGUGCUUCACACAUGCAAGUCGAACGGAAAGGCCCGCUUGCGGGUGCUCGAGUGGCGAACGGGUGAGUAACACGUGGGUAACCUGCCCCCAUCUCUGGGAUAACCGUUGGAAACGGCGGCUAAUACCGGAUACGACCUGGGACCGCAUGGUUUUGGGUGGAAAGCUUUUGUGGUUGGGGAGGGGCCCGCGGCCUAUCAGCUGGUUGGUGGGGUGAUGGCCUACCAAGGCGGUGACGGGUAGCCGGCCUGAGAGGGCGGUCGGUCACAUUGGGACUGAGAUACGGCCCAGACUCCUACGGGAGGCAGCAGUGGGGAAUUUUGCACAAUGGGCGGAAGCCUGAUGCAGCGACGCCGCGUGAGGGAUGACGGCUUUCGGGUUGUAAACCUCUUUUAUCCACCACGAAGGUCCCGUAUUCGCGGGGUUGACGGUAGUGGUUGAAUAAGCGCCGGCUAACUACGUGCCAGCAGCCGCGGUAAGACGUAGGGCGCGAGCGUUGUCCGGAUUUAUUGGGCGUAAAGGGCUCGUAGGCGGCCCGCUGCGUCUGCCGUGAAAGGCAUCGGCUUAACCGGUGUUUUGCGGUGGAUACGGGCGGGCUUGAGGCAAGUAGGGGAAACUGGAAUUCUACGUGUAGCGGUGAAAUGCGCAGAUAUGUGGAGGAACACCGGUGGCGAAGGCGGGUUUCUGGGCUUGUUCUGACGCUGAGGAGCGAAAGCGUGGGGAGCGAACAGGAUUAGAUACCCUGGUAGUCCAUGCUGUAAACGGUGGGCGCUAGGUGUGGGGCCACAUUGGUUGGUUCUGUGCCGUAGCUAACGCAUUAAGCGCCUCGCCUGGGGAGUACGGCCGCAAGGCUAAAACUCAAAGGAAUUGACGG
rnacentral:rRNA from 1 species